rnacentral:misc_RNA from 1 species
UACGGAGGGGGCUAGCGUUGUUCGGAAUUACUGGGCGUAAAGCGCACGUAGGCGGACUGGAAAGUUGGGGGAGAAAUCCCGGGGCUCAACCUCGGAACUGCCUUCAAAACUAUCGGUCUGGAGUUCGAGAGAGGUGAGUGGAAUUCCCGGUGUAGCGGUGAAAUGCGUAGAUAUUCGGAAGAACACCAGUGGCGAAGGCGACUUACUGGACGACUGUUGACGCUGAGGUGCGAAAGCGUGGGGAGCAAACAGG